rnacentral:rRNA from 1 species
AUGAAUGCUGGCGGCGUGCCUAACACAUGCAAGUCGAGCGGCAGCGCGAGUAGUUUACUACUUGGCGGCGAGCGGCGGACGGCUGAGUAACGCGUGGGAACAUACUCCAAAGUGAGGGAUAACCGCCCGAAAGGGUGGCUAAUACCGCAUAUGAUCUUCGGAUUAAAGGAUUUAUCCGCUUUGGGAAUGGCCUGCGUACGAUUAGAUAGUUGGUGAGGUAAAGGCUCACCAAGUCGACGAUCGUUAACUGGUCUGAGAGGAUGAUCAGUCAGACUGGAACUGAGACACGGUCCAGACUCCUACGGGAGGCAGCAGUGAGGAAUCUUCCACAAUGGGCGAAAGCCUGAUGGAGCAACGCCGCGUGCAGGAUGAAGGCCUUCGGGUCGUAACUGCUUUUAUAAGGGAAGAGCAAGGACUGUACCUCAUGAAUAAGGAUCGGCUAACUACGU